GGGGUUUCUAAGGCGACUCUGACAGUCAACAAACAUGGCUGCAGCUGCAGGGAGCUCUGACCAGCAGGAGCGAACCUGCUCCCACAUCCCGACGUUCUCAGCCCGACAUCCCAUGAUCCCCAGACUGUAUGUGAUGCCAUGGAAACAGGACAUGAAGAACCAGCGGCUCCUGAUGAAGAACGCAGCUCUCGCAGGGAUUCCUGUUGUUCCUCUUGAGGAGUCUUUGUGUUUCUGUGGACGGGAGCGUCUCUGCCACAGUCAGGACGCCAACCACUGCUCCUCCUCCUCCUCCUCUUCCUCCUCCUCCUCCUCCUCUCCUCCUCUUAUCCAGACAGGACUGACAGCUCAUCACUCCUCCCACUUCUCCAGGUACAACAGCUCUGUGGUGACGACCAGGCGUCUCUACCACACCUGAGGACAGAUCUCACCGACACUGAUGAACCUGUCUGCUUCACAAGCUGAGGAACGGCCUUAGGUUUUCCUCACAGCUCUGUAUUUAAUAAUAAUGAAUCUCAUUUUAAUUCAAGAGAAGAAAAAGCCAGGAAGCUGCACACAAUAUGAAAAUAUCUCAAUUAAAAUGUCAAAAACUCACAUUUUCCUUCUCACCACAAACUGCACUUCCAGUUUUGAUUCCACUGAAGACACGCAGUGACCCUGAACUCUGCUAAGAACCAACUACAAAGAAGAUAUAUAUAUAGAGGUCACAGGCAGUAAAAUGUACGUCUUACAUGUUCUACACUGUUACACUUCUACUUCACAACAUUUCACUCCUCUACGUUCAUCUAACUGCAUUUCUUAACAUAAAUAUCAUGAUACGUUUAUAAAAUACAACACAUUGUGAGAAUUAAAAGGUGUUCUGAACCUUUUUGAGCCCUCAGAGAAGAUGUGAAUAUCUGAGACAACUUGUCAUGUUCCAGAUGUUUUCCAGAGUUAUUUCCUCUAAACUUCUCGGAAGCUUUGAUUUAAAUAGCAAGACCAAAGUUUCACAAUAAAAGCAAAAACUGAUGACAAGGUUUGGCAGAUUUUUUUGUUUGUUCAUUUCCUGACCCUUUAAAUGUAUGUUUACAUGAAUAUAUUGGUGCUGCAGUUCACAUGUUCACCACAUCGUCUCAAUAAACAGGAUGUCAAACAGUUUUACUUUCACUUUUGAACUCCUCUGGUUGUGACGCAGUUUUUAUCUGGUGAGUGAACUCAACAAAAACAGAUUAAAACAAGGAACAAAGCAGUGAGGGUCAUUACAAAGAUUUGGAAAACCAGCAGAAAAUGGGGAAGAUCCAGAUCCCGAUCAUAAAAGUGGAUGAUGCGGAAGAUUAUGGAGUGAACCCCGAGAGCUCUAAAAUGGAGCUACCUGACAUGGAAGCCGAUCAAAAACCCCCAGAGCUCAGCUGCAUCAGUUAUGGAUCAGUGCCUCCUGACGUGGAAGCUCUUCGAGUAUGCAGACUGACCACACAAAGUCUUGAAAGUCCACGACCUAACA